rnacentral:lncRNA from 1 species
UAUUAUGUUGUGGACUCGUUCAAUCGUCCUCAAAAUCACAAUUCUAUGCAAGUCUAUACGUUUUUUUGUGAGUCUACAAGAGUUUACACAGAAACAAUACUGUAAGCAAGCUAACUCGAUUUUGAUGCCUAGAAUCAUAAGAUUGUACGAGUUAACUUGAGAAUUUGAGAAACAAGUUCAUGCAGACUAAGUGUAGUAAGUAUUAUUUCUAUCAUAAUAUUAUAGUUCCCAUACACCAAGCUGGGAAACAAAAAGAAACCUCGCCAACACGACAAAUCAAAGCCCCAACAAGUAAGCUUUGUGCAUGAUUUCUUUUGUCUUCUAGAGUGAUUUUGAAAUGACAACCGACAGCUAAAAGUAAUUUAUAGUUUACUGGUAUGCAUGCCUUAAAAAGUCAUCCAGUGACGGUGGAAAAGGUCACAAGUGAGAUGAUGGUUA